rnacentral:rRNA from 1 species
GAUGAACGCUGGCGGCGUGCCUAAUACAUGCAAGUCGAGCGAACAGACGAGGAGCUUGCUCCUCUGACGUUAGCGGCGGACGGGUGAGUAACACGUGGAUAACCUACCUAUAAGACUGGGAUAACUUCGGGAAACCGGAGCUAAUACCGGAUAAUAUAUUGAACCGCAUGGUUCAAUAGUGAAAGACGGUUUUGCUGUCACUUAUAGAUGGAUCCGCGCCGCAUUAGCUAGUUGGUAAGGUAACGGCUUACCAAGGCAACGAUGCGUAGCCGACCUGAGAGGGUGUACGGCCACAGUGGGACUGAGACACGGUCCAGACUCCGACGGGAGGCAGCAGUAGGGAAGCUUGCGAGAUGGGCGAAAGCCUGACGGAGCAGCGCAGCGUGAGUGAUGAGGGUCUUCGGAGCGUAAAACUCUGUUAUUGGGGAAGAACAAAUGUGUAAGUAACGAUGCACGUCUUGACGGUACCUAAUCAGAAAGCCACGGCUAACUACGUG